rnacentral:lncRNA from 1 species
AUGUGUCUUUUGUCCAGCUCGGCCGCCUCGGAUCUCACUGCCACCGGCCUUCACGCACACCCUCACCACCAGCCUUUGCCCCGUCAGCCUCAGCCCCAGCUCAUUCUCUCAGGCAGUCCCAGCAUUGGCAUGGUACCUCCUCCCGCCGUGGGCCGCACGUCUCUGCUCCCUGUCAACCCUACUGCCAUCAGCAUCACCACAAGCGACUUGUCUGCCCAGGAGGAUGCAACACCAUCUGCCUCCACCCGCCACCUUUCAGUGUCUUCUGCUUUCCAAGUAAAGACACCAGCAGUGCCCUCAGAGCGGACCAGCCAGAGAUUUUCCGAAGCCUCCCAUAGGGUGCUCCGUGGAGGAGGCCUGAGAUGCUGUCAUGACUUUGGAGCCAGGGUGGCCGACCACCUUGGCCUGGCCAUCUUUGGGGUGGGCUUUGGGAGCCCAGCACUGCUGCCGGGUGUGGUGGAUGAGAACGGCGGCUGCUGCUGCUUGCUGUACGUGAUGGAGGACCAGCUGUGUGGCGUGGAGCGAGCCUUCAGAGCUGAGCAUUUGGCCAACACCAGAGUGGUUCGGAAACAGGAUGCGGACAUUGUCCUCAACGACCAGCGAUAUGGCUGCCUUAAAAGAUGCAGAGACUGUUAUGAUCAGCAUGAAGUUUCCCUGUGGGGCUAUGGUCAGCGUGGACGUCAGCCAGCACCGUACAGACAGCUGUGACCAGGGAUUGGAGGUGCGUGGGUCCCAAGGCACACUGCAGAUGGAGAAUCAGAAUCCCUUGGGCAUCACCGGGCGGGGCACGUCCCUGUCCCUCGGCUCCCAGACCCAGGCUAGCCGCUACCAGGACUCGUAUCGAGAGCUCUUCAGCUACUUUGUCAGAACCCUUAAAG